rnacentral:rRNA from 1 species
UACAGAGGUCCCAAGCGUUGUUCGGAUUCAUUGGGCGUAAAGGGUGCGUAGGUGGCGCCGUAAGUGGGGUGUGAAAUUUCGGAGCUUAACUCCGAAACUGCAUUCCAUACUGCGGUGCUUGAGGACUGGAGAGGAGACUGGAAUUUACGGUGUAGCAGUGAAAUGCGUAGAGAUCGUAAGGAAGACCAGUGGCGAAGGCGGGUCUCUGGGCCGAAAUUGACGCUGAGGAGCGAAAGCGUGGGGAGCAAACAGG